rnacentral:rRNA from 1 species
UACGAAGGGGGCUAGCGUUGCUCGGAAUUACUGGGCGUAAAGCGCACGUAGGCGGCUCUUUAAGUCGGGGGUGAAAUCCUGGAGCUCAACUCCAGAACUGCCUUCGAUACUGAAGAGCUCGAGUCCGGGAGAGGUGAGUGGAACUGCGAGUGUAGAGGUGAAAUUCGUAGAUAUUCGCAAGAACGCCAGUGGCGAAGGCGGCUCACUGGCCCGGUACUGACGCUGAGGUGCGAAAGCGUGGGGAGCAAACAGG